ACUGUCAAUCUUUUGUGAGAAACCCAUAAGAGCAGAAGAUGGGUCGCUCAGCAGCAGUACCUGGAUUUGGGAACUCAUUACUGGUGGAGAUUAGGAUGACCACAAAUCUCUCUGGCUUUAAAGCAAAGCAAAGCGAAAAACUUACUUCCUUGGCUUAGUUCUCACUUUUUCAUGUUCUCCAGAUGAAGGUGAGAAAGAAGAAGAGAGAGGAAAGAAGCAAAGGAAAAAGGAAGACUGAGAGAAGAAAGCAAACAGAGGGAAGAGAUGGGAAGAUGGUAGACAAUGCCCUUAGAAGGACCCUCACUGAGAGGAUAUUUUUCACUUAUCUAACUGUAGUUAAAUCAAGAAGUCAUGCUGAGCAGCAGUGUUUUCUUCAUGCAAAGAGAUGGUGAAAUUCAAGGUUUUACUUUUUCCAGCAGUGAAUCAGCAUAUUUGUCAGGCUCUGGGAGCUUACACAAAAAGUAAGUUUAGCAUCUUAAUAAUGUUCCUGUCUGUCCAUCCUAUCACAAAUUUUUGUUCAAUUUUCUCUU
rnacentral:lncRNA from 1 species